rnacentral:sRNA from 1 species
GAUGCGGCCGGGGCUGCGCGGCGGUGAUGCGAGCCUGCUGGGCGGCGCGCCGGGGCAGCCGGAGCCGCGCGCCGCGGCGCUGUAAUCGGACACCAAGAGCGCUCGCCCCCGGCGUCCGGCCACUUUCCAUUCACUCCGAGGUGCUUGAUUGCGCGACGCGGAGAAGAGCUCCGGGUGCCGCGGCACUGCAGCGCUGAGAUUCCUUUACAAAGAAACUCAGAGGACCAGGAAGAAAGAAUUUCACCUUUGCGACGUGCUAGAAAAUAAGGUCGUCUGGAAAAAGGGCUGGGAGACACAAGCGGAUCCAACCCCGGUAGCAAACUGAUGACUUUUCCGUGCUGAUUUCUUCCAACCUCGGUAUUUUCCCUUGGAUAUUAACUUGCAUAUCUGAAGAAAUGGCAUUCCGGACAAUUUGCGUGUUGGUUGGAGUAUUUAUUUGUUCUAUCUGUGUAAAAGGAUCUUCCCAGCCCCAAGCAAGAGUUUAUUUAACAUUUGAUGAGUCUCACUCUGUCACCAGGUUGGAGUGCAGUGACACGAUAUCGG